GUCUACGGCCAUACCACCCGGAACGUGCCCAAUCUCGUCUGAUUUUGGAAGCUAAGUAGGGUUGGGCCUGGUUAGUACUUGGAUGGGAAAAAGCCUUGGCCUUAGAUCAGAGUACUGGUAGAUGAACAUC
ensembl:rRNA 5S_rRNA 5S ribosomal RNA